rnacentral:lncRNA from 1 species
UUCGCUUGCAUCUGAGCUAUCUGGUCUCUUAACCUCUGAACUUCAGCUUGAGCUUGACUUCCGGAAGGCAUGUAUUGUUGGGAGCCGGAUCCAAAAUAUUGGGUCAGGGUAACACCAGAUCCUUGAAAUCGAACCCGAACGUACCUUUCAAGACCCAAAACUUCAGUGAUAAUUUUGUUAUCAAUGUUCUCAAGAUUAACAGAACUAUCAGUUGAAGCAAUCGCUUCAUAUUCCGCCUUCUUCUCCUUUAGUUU